rnacentral:rRNA from 1 species
AUGAACGCUGACGGCGUGCCUAAUACAUGCCAGUCGAGCGAACAGACGAGGAGCUUGCUCCUCUGACGUUAGCGGCGGACGGGUGAGUAACACGUGGAUAACCUACCUAUAAGACUGGGAUAACUUCGGGAAACCGGAGCUAAUACCGGAUAAUAUAUUGAACCGCAUGGUUCAAUAGUGAAAGACGGUUUUGCUGUCACUUAUAGAUGGAUCCGCGCCGCAUUAGCUAGUUGGUAAGGUAACGGCUUACCAAGGCAACGAUGCGUAGCCGACCUGAGAGGGUGAUCGGCCACACUGGAACUGAGACACGGUCCAGACUCCUACGGGAGGCAGCAGUAGGGAAUCUUCCGCAAUGGGCGAAAGCCUGACGGAGCAACGCCGCGUGAGUGAUGAAGGUCUUCGGAUCGUAAAACUCUGUUAUUAGGGAAGAACAAAUGUGUAAGUAACUAUGCACGUCUUGACGGUACCUAAUCAGAAAGCCACGGCUAACUACGUG